CCUACGGGAGGCAGCAGUAGGGAAUCUUGCGCAAUGGGCGAAAGCCUGACGCAGCCAUGCCGCGUGAAUGAUGAAGGUCUUAGGAUUGUAAAAUUCUUUCACCGGGGACGAUAAUGACGGUACCCGGAGAAGAAGCCCCGGCUAACUUCGUGCCAGCAGCCGCGGUAAUACGAAGGGGGCUAGCGUUGCUCGGAAUUACUGGGCGUAAAGGGAGCGUAGGCGGAUAGUUUAGUCAGAGGUGAAAGCCCAGGGCUCAACCUUGGAACUGCCUUUGAUACUGGCUAUCUUGAGUAUGGGAGAGGUGAGUGGAACUCCGAGUGUAGAGGUGAAAUUCGUAGAUAUUCGGAAGAACACCAGUGGCGAAGGCGACUCACUGGCCCAUUACUGACGCUGAGGCUCGAAAGCGUGGGGAGCAAACAGGAUUAGAUACCCUGGUAGUCCACGCCGUAAACGAUGAGUGCUAGUUGUCGGCAUGCAUGCAUGUCGGUGACGCAGCUAACGCAUUAAGCACUCCGCCUGGGGAGUACGGUCGCAAGAUUAAAACUUAAAGGAAUUGACGG
rnacentral:rRNA from 1 species